rnacentral:rRNA from 1 species
GAUGAACGCUAGCUACAGGCUUAACACAUGCAAGUCGAGGGGUAACGAGAGGAAAGCUUGCUUUCCUUGUCGACGACCGGCGCACGGGUGAGUAACGCGUAUCCAACCUGCCCCCAACUAGGGAAUAACCUUGCGAAAGUAAGACUAAUACCCUAUAAUUUCCUCAGAUGACAUCUGACGAGGAAUAAAGAUUUAUCGGUUGUGGAUGGGGAUGCGUCUGAUUAGCUUGUUGGCGGGGUAACGGCCCACCAAGGCAACGAUCAGUAGGGGUUCUGAGAGGAAGGUCCCCCACAUUGGAACUGAGACACGGUCCAAGCUCCUACGGGAGGCAGCAGUGAGGAAUAUUGGUCAAUGGGCGGAAGCCUGAACCAGCCAAGUAGCGUGCAGGAUGACGGCCCUUUGGGUUGUAAACUGCUUUUAUACAGGAAUAAAGUUAGCCACGUGUGGUUAUUUGUAGGUACUGUAUGAAUAAGGACCGGCUAAUUCCGUGCCAGCCGCCGCCGUAA